AAUGGGUUUAGUCUUUAACUUUCUUUCUUUUGUAUUUCUUUUUUUCUCUUUUAAUCUUUAAACACACUGUAUUGAAUAACAGUUUGCAGUGUGAGACAAACUUGAGAGGAAGUAGAAAAGGGAAACCAACCAGAAGACCAGGUGUAUAUACCAGUGAAUGGGCUCCUACAAUUGCAAAUGGCUUACCUAUCCUUGAAGAACAGAAGCUCCUUUCCUAGCAUUGUUACUGCAUCAAAGGAUGAGCUGGAGUCACACACAUCAGGGAUGGAUGGUUUGCGAGGAGGUAGGUGGGGAACAGUGGGUUUUCCCAGGUAUGGUUUCCGAGGUCCUAGGAUUCAAAAUCUCUUGGUCAAAAAUCAUACCAGGAGUUUAGAGUUUGCACACCACUGCUCUAGAGAUGUUCACCACAUUCACUCUGUGCAUGACAUCACAAAGAGAUGGCUGUCAGUGACACAUAGACCUUUGUUGGAAUCUUGGAUUUCCUAGUUGUCAAGUUUUGUGAUUUGAGACAAAUACAUUAACUAUUUAGAGUCUCAGCUUCCUCUCGGGUAAAAAUAGGAACGGUAAUUACAGGAUUUACUUCCAAAGAGUGUUACAAGAAUUAAGUAACUUUUGUAAAGCUUGGCGCACAGUAAAUGUUUAAAGAAUAUUCUUUUAUUGUCAUUAACAACUUCCUUGGUAGCUACAGAUUCUCUGAAUUAGAAGUAUACUGUGAUUAAAAUUUGUUAUUUCUUUGUAAUUAAGUUACUUUUAUCAUGAAAAUUAGAACUUUCUUGCAUACUUUUUAUUUUUUCCCUGUACUCCUUGACAUCCUGCACUCUGCUCAACGCUUCUUGAGUCACUGAGGACAGGCUGAGUGGAGAUCAAGAUAUCUCCUGGUGGAUCUACUCGUGAAACUGGGACUCAUUCCUUGGGGGAAUUGUUGGUGUUUGCAUCUCCCACUGCAUCCCUGCCAACUAUAGAAGAAUGAGCUGGGGCUGCCUUAAUCAUUGUCUUUGGAAGACCCUACUCCUUGAUGAAGCUUGAGGCAGCCCAAGGAAAACUGGAUAUAGAUUUUCUAAGAGUCCUUUCUUACCCUUCGAAAGAAUGUUAACACUUCAGGUUCACCUGGGAAGAGACGAUAAUUUGCCACAUCGGGAACUCCACAGCGAGGCUUCUUGAUCACGUCCAUCGUGCUUUGGUCCAGCUUCCCAGUGAGCGGGAGGCCGAAGAAUGUUUGCAGCUCCUUAAUCUUCUUUACCAUGGAAUUGCCUCCUCUUGAAACCAUUUCGCCAACCUGGUGCCCUCCUUUCUUUGUGUAAUACUUGUCAAGAUAUGCCUGAAAUGGAGAGGCAGGCGGACAGAAGUGGAUUGGAGGAGUCAUUCCUGUCUGUGCAAGUUGACGCUGUGUUACUGCAAUGCUUAUAGUGGUGUUCAAAUUGUGCCCCUCAGAGUCUGAGCUCUGUAUAUCAGGUUUUCCAUGUCAGGAGGAGAAAGAGGGAACUGGGCAAAGAUUCACAAACCUGUGCGAGGUGGAAGUUGUUCCUCCAGGUCCUGGGGGUGGCUGCAAAGAGGGUGGGGGCUGCAGAGGAAAACUUCAAAGCUGUGAGAAGGAGGACAGCAAGGCCAGACGCCGGGAGCACCUUCAUCUCCUCGUGGUAGCUGGUCUCCUACAUUUUCCUGCAUGGAAAAGAGAGUGGUGGAAUUGGAACCAGUCUGUGGGGUCUAGCAGGUACUCAAGAAGAUCACAUGACUCAGGCAGACAUCGUGUCUGUGAUGUACUGAGAAAUGCAUAAAACGUGUGUCUGAAGCAAACAAUAAACAAACAAAACAUCAAAAACACAGUUCUCUUAGAGGUA